UCUCGGAUGGUGCAGCUGGAAGCAUUCCCACCCGUCUUUGUCGCGCCUGGUGAAUAUCAGGCUCGUUCGUAUCGUGCGUGGGAGACCGAAGUUCAAUUCUUCGUCCGAGAG